rnacentral:rRNA from 1 species
GGGUUGUGAGGUUAAGCGACUAAGCGUACACGGUGGAUGCCCUGGCAGUCAGAGGCGAUGAAGGACGUGCUAAUCUGCGAUAAGCGUCGGUAAGGUGAUAUGAACCGUUAUAACCGGCGAUUUCCGAAUGGGGAAACCCAGUGUGAUUCGUCACACUAUCAUUAACUGAAUCCAUAGGUUAAUGAGGCGAACCGGGGGAACUGAAACAUCUAAGUACCCCGAGGAAAAGAAAUCAACCGAGAUUCCCCCAGUAGCGGCGAGCGAACGGGGAGCAGCCCAGAGCCUGAAUCAGUGUGUGUGUUAGUGGAAGCGUCUGGAAAGGCGUGCGAUACAGGGUGACAGCCCCGUACACAAAAAUGCACAUACUGUGAGCUCGAUGAGUAGGGCGGGACACGUGGUAUCCUGUCUGAAUAUGGGGGGACCAUCCUCCAAGGCUAAAUACUCCUGACUGACCGAUAGUGAACCAGUACCGUGAGGGAAAGGCGAAAAGAACCCCGGCGAGGGGAGUGAAAAAGAACCUGAAACCGUGUACGUACAAGCAGUGGGAGCACGCUUAGGCGUGUGACUGCGUACCUUUUGUAUAAUGGGUCAGCGACUUAUAUUCUGUAGCAAGGUUAACCGAAUAGGGGAGCCGAAGGGAAACCGAGUCUUAACUGGGCGUUAAGUUGCAGGGUAUAGACCCGAAACCCGGUGAUCUAGCCAUGGGCAGGUUGAAGGUUGGGUAACACUAACUGGAGGACCGAACCGACUAAUGUUGAAAAAUUAGCGGAUGACUUGUGGCUGGGGGUGAAAGGCCAAUCAAACCGGGAGAUAGCUGGUUCUCCCCGAAAGCUAUUUAGGUAGCGCCUCGUGAAUUCAUCUCCGGGGGUAGAGCACUGUUUCGGCAAGGGGGUCAUCCCGACUUACCAACCCGAUGCAAACUGCGAAUACCGGAGAAUGUUAUCACGGGAGACACACGGCGGGUGCUAACGUCCGUCGUGAAGAGGGAAACAACCCAGACCGCCAGCUAAGGUCCCAAAGUCAUGGUUAAGUGGGAAACGAUGUGGGAAGGCCCAGACAGCCAGGAUGUUGGCUUAGAAGCAGCCAUCAUUUAAAGAAAGCGUAAUAGCUCACUGGUCGAGUCGGCCUGCGCGGAAGAUGUAACGGGGCUAAACCAUGCACCGAAGCUGCGGCAGCGACGCUUAUGCGUUGUUGGGUAGGGGAGCGUUCUGUAAGCCUGUGAAGGUGUGCUGUGAGGUAUGCUGGAGGUAUCAGAAGUGCGAAUGCUGACAUAAGUAACGAUAAAGCGGGUGAAAAGCCCGCUCGCCGGAAGACCAAGGGUUCCUGUCCAACGUUAAUCGGGGCAGGGUGAGUCGACCCCUAAGGCGAGGCCGAAAGGCGUAGUCGAUGGGAAACAGGUUAAUAUUCCUGUACUUGGUGUUACUGCGAAGGGGGGACGGAGAAGGCUAUGUUGGCCGGGCGACGGUUGUCCCGGUUUAAGCGUGUAGGCUGGUUUUCAAGGCAAAUCCGGAAAAUCAAGGCCGAGGCGUGAUGACGAGGCACUACGGUGCUGAAGCAACAAAUGCCCUGCUUCCAGGAAAAGCCUCUAAGCAUCAGGUAACAUCAAAUCGUACCCCAAACCGACACAGGUGGUCAGGUAGAGAAUACCAAGGCGCUUGAGAGAACUCGGGUGAAGGAACUAGGCAAAAUGGUGCCGUAACUUCGGGAGAAGGCACGCUGAUACGUAGGUGAAGCGACUUGCUCGUGGAGCUGAAAUCAGUCGAAGAUACCAGCUGGCUGCAACUGUUUAUUAAAAACACAGCACUGUGCAAACACGAAAGUGGACGUAUACGGUGUGACGCCUGCCCGGUGCCGGAAGGUUAAUUGAUGGGGUUAGCGCAAGCGAAGCUCUUGAUCGAAGCCCCGGUAAACGGCGGCCGUAACUAUAACGGUCCUAAGGUAGCGAAAUUCCUUGUCGGGUAAGUUCCGACCUGCACGAAUGGCGUAAUGAUGGCCAGGCUGUCUCCACCCGAGACUCAGUGAAAUUGAACUCGCUGUGAAGAUGCAGUGUACCCGCGGCAAGACGGAAAGACCCCGUGAACCUUUACUAUAGCUUGACACUGAACAUUGAGCCUUGAUGUGUAGGAUAGGUGGGAGGCUUUGAAGUGUGGACGCCAGUCUGCAUGGAGCCGACCUUGAAAUACCACCCUUUAAUGUUUGAUGUUCUAACGUGGACCCGUGAUCCGGGUUGCGGACAGUGUCUGGUGGGUAGUUUGACUGGGGCGGUCUCCUCCUAAAGAGUAACGGAGGAGCACGAAGGUUGGCUAAUCCUGGUCGGACAUCAGGAGGUUAGUGCAAUGGCAUAAGCCAGCUUGACUGCGAGCGUGACGGCGCGAGCAGGUGCGAAAGCAGGUCAUAGUGAUCCGGUGGUUCUGAAUGGAAGGGCCAUCGCUCAACGGAUAAAAGGUACUCCGGGGAUAACAGGCUGAUACCGCCCAAGAGUUCAUAUCGACGGCGGUGUUUGGCACCUCGAUGUCGGCUCAUCACAUCCUGGGGCUGAAGUAGGUCCCAAGGGUAUGGCUGUUCGCCAUUUAAAGUGGUACGCGAGCUGGGUUUAGAACGUCGUGAGACAGUUCGGUCCCUAUCUGCCGUGGGCGCUGGAGAACUGAGGGGGGCUGCUCCUAGUACGAGAGGACCGGAGUGGACGCAUCACUGGUGUUCGGGUUGUCAUGCCAAUGGCACUGCCCGGUAGCUAAAUGCGGAAGAGAUAAGUGCUGAAAGCAUCUAAGCACGAAACUUGCCCCGAGAUGAGUUCUCCCUGACCCUUUAAGGAUCCUGAAGGAACGUUGAAGACGACGACGUUGAUAGGCCGGGUGUGUAAGCGCAGCGAUGCGUUGAGCUAACCGGUACUAAUGAACCGUGAGGCUUAACCUUACAACGCCGAAG